rnacentral:misc_RNA from 1 species
UUGAAUAAACUUGGUUGGGUUGCUGCUGGCUCUUCAGGGAGCAGGUGCGCGCUCAAUUCAUUUUUAAACCACCUGUGCACAUACUGUAGGCCUGAAUUAACUUUUCGAGGUAACUCGGUUUGAGAACUGCUGCGAAAAGCAGCUGUUCUUGUACUUCAGGUCUAUGUUUAUAUCAUAUACUCCAUAACAAGUUAUAGAAUGUUACUUUAUAGGCCUUCUGUGCCUUUAAAAACCUAAUACAACUUUCAACAACGGAUCUCUUGGCUCUCGCAUCGAUGAAGAACGCAGCGAAAUGCGAUAAGUAAUGUGAAUUGCAGAAUUCAGUGAAUCAUCGAAUCUUUGAACGCACCUUGCGCUCCUUGGUAUUCCGAGGAGCAUGCCUGUUUGAGUGUCAUUAAAUUCUCAACCUCUCUAGCUUUUUUUAAAACAAAGGCUGGUUAGGCUUGGAUUGUGGGAGUUGCUGGCUUCUUUGCAAAUCAGCUCUUCUUAAAUGUAUUAGCGAAAUUCCUUUGUUGAACAUCUUUUGGUAUGAUAAUAUUAUCUAUAUCAUUGAGAUACAGCUUUUCCACUUUGGCGGAUCAGGCUCCGCUUGGAUUAUAUUUUCCAAGUGUUCGGUUCAACCGCUCUGAAGCACCAGCUUAGGCACAGAUGGGUUAAGCUCAUUUGAUGGUGUUGAAUACUUCAGGUUGACGAAGCGAGGCACUCUUUUUUUGGAGUGCUCACGAGAGCAAGCACUGUAAUCAUCUCUUUUGAUGUUGUGCACUGUCAUAUUCCUGUUAACCUACCCUAGCUACUAUGUGGCUUUGAUGGGUCUGGUCAAACCAUGACCUGAACAUAUCCUUAGUGGAAGGAUCUUUGCUUCUAAUAUUGUUCCUAUGAACAAAAAACCUUUUGACAAAU